rnacentral:rRNA from 1 species
UUAGCGGCGGACGGGUGAGUAACACGUGGAUAACCUACCUAUAAGACUGGGAUAACUUCGGGAAACCGGAGCUAAUACCGGAUAAUAUUUUGAACCGCAUGGUUCAAAAGUGAAAGACGGUCUUGCUGUCACUUAUAGAUGGAUCCGCGCUGCAUUAGCUAGUUGGUAAGGUAACGGCUUACCAAGGCAACGAUGCAUAGCCGACCUGAGAGGGUGAUCGGCCACACUGGAACUGAGACACGGUCCAGACUCCUACGGGAGGCAGCAGUAGGGAAUCUUCCGCAAUGGGCGAAAGCCUGACGGAGCAACGCCGCGUGAGUGAUGAAGGUCUUCGGAUCGUAAAACUCUGUUAUUAGGGAAGAACAUAUGUGUAAGUAACUGUGCACAUCUUGACGGUACCUAAUCAGAAAGCCACGGCUAACUACGUGCCAGCAGCCGCGGUAAUACGUAGGUGGCAAGCGUUAUCCGGAAUUAUUGGGCGUAAAGCGCGCGUAGGCGGUUUUUUAAGUCUGAUGUGAAAGCCCACGGCUCAACCGUGGAGGGUCAUUGGAAACUGGAAAACUUGAGUGCAGAAGAGGAAAGUGGAAUUCCAUGUGUAGCGGUGAAAUGCGCAGAGAUAUGGAGGAACACCAGUGGCGAAGGCGACUUUCUGGUCUGUAACUGACGCUGAUGUGCGAAAGCGUGGGGAUCAAACAGGAUUAGAUACCCUGGUAGUCCACGCCGUAAACGAUGAGUGCUAAGUGUUAGGGGGUUUCCGCCCCUUAGUGCUGCAGCUAACGCAUUAAGCACUCCGCCUGGGGAGUACGACCGCAAGGUUGAAACUCAAAGGAAUUGACGGGGACCCGCACAAGCGGUGGAGCAUGUGGUUUAAUUCGAAGCAACGCGAAGAACCUUACCAAAUCUUGACAUCCUUUGACAACUCUAGAGAUAGAGCCUUCCC